rnacentral:misc_RNA from 1 species
UCAACCAAAACAUGGAACUAAUUCUGAUAUUUAUUCCCAUUCAUAAUACCAGUAGCAGGAAACCGUUGGAAGCUGAUGAGAUUUUUAAUUUGAGUACAAGAAAAAGCAACUUAGCCAUGACUGAGCAUGGUAUAAGUAUGGGCUUUGUUGACUAAGCAAAAGGCAUUCUUUUGCUUAUAAAAUGGAAGCAUCUGCUAGAAUAAGAGCGCAGAGAGAUAAUGUGCAAG